rnacentral:rRNA from 1 species
UAAAUCAGUUAUCGUUUAUUUGAUAGUACCUUUACCUGGAUAACCGUGGUAAUUCUAGAGCUAAUACAUGCUAAAAACCUCGACUUCGGAAGGGGUGUAUUUAUUAGAUAAAAAACCAAUGCCCUUCGGGGCUCCUUGGUGAUUCAUAAUAACUUAACGAAUCGCAUGGCCUUGCGCCGGCGAUGGUUCAUUCAAAUUUCUGCCCUAUCAACUUUCGAUGGUAGGAUAGUGGCCUACCAUGGUCUUAACGGGUAACGGAGAAUUAGGGUUCGAUUCCGGAGAGGGAGCCUGAGAAACGGCUACCACAUCCAAGGAAGGCAGCAGGCGCGCAAAUUACCCAAUCCCAAUACGGGGAGGUAGUGACAAUAAAUACUGAUACGGGGCUCUUUCGGGUCUCGUAAUCGGAAUGAGUACAAUCUAAAUCCCUUAACGAGGAACAAUUGGAGGGCAAGUCUGGUGCCAGCAGCCGCGGUAAUUCCAGCUCCAAUAGCGUAUAUUAAAGUUGUUGCCGUUAAAAAGCUCGUAGUUGAACCUUGGACCUGGCUGAUCUGUCCUCCUAAUCGAGCGCACGGAUUCGGUCGGGUCUUUCCUUCUGAGGAACCCGAUGCCCUUCACUGGGUGUCGUGGGGAACCAGGACUUUUACCUUGAAAAAAUUAGAGUGUUCAAAGCAGGCCUUUGCUCGAAUACAUUAGCAUGGAAUAAUAGAAUAGGACAUCGGUUCUAUUUUUGUUGGUUUCUAGGACCGCUGUAAUGAUUAAUAGGGAUAGUCGGGGGGCGUCAGUAUUCAAUUGUCAGAGGUGAAAUUCUUGGAUUUAUUGAAGACUAACUACUGCGAAAGCAUUCGCCAAGGAUGUUUUCAUUAAUCAGUGAACGAAAGUUAGGGGAUCGAAGACGAUCAGAUACCGUCGUAGUCUUAACCAUAAACUAUGCCGACUAGGGAUCGGACGGUGGUUUUUUUAUGCCCCGUUCGGCACCUUACGAGAA